ACCUUCGGGCCUCUUGCCAUCGGAUGUGCCCAGAUGGGAUUAGCUAGUAGGUGGGGUAACGGCUCACCUAGGCGACGAUCCCUAGCUGGUCUGAGAGGAUGACCAGCCACACUGGAACUGAGACACGGUCCAGACUCCUACGGGAGGCAGCAGUGGGGAAUAUUGCACAAUGGGCGCAAGCCUGAUGCAGCCAUGCCGCGUGUAUGAAGAAGGCCUUC
rnacentral:rRNA from 1 species